AUGGAUGUGAUCCCCAUUGUUUUUCCACAUAUAAGCUUUCUUUUUACAGGUCCACUCAAAAGCAUGUGGGAUGAAAAGACAAUUGUCAUCUCACAGCUUCUUCUGACUUCAUUGCUUUUCUCAGUCAUUAUUGAGGUUCAGUUGCCUAUUUCACUUAUGGGAGCGGCAGCUCCGGGCAGUGACAUCACCCUUAGAUGCUCUUUGUCUUCUUCUAAAAACCUGAACCUCAACCACCUGAUUGUCAACUGGCAGCAUGCAGAAUCAGUGGUGGUCCACAGCUAUUACCAUGGAAGAGAUCAGCUGGACAGAGUGUUGUUUACAAAGGAUGGACUCAUCUGUUUGAAGACCAGCUCGCUGUGGGAAAUGUCUCACUUAGACUGAGUGGUGUGCAGCCGAGUGACCAGGGCAAAAACACUUGUGAUGUGACAGAUGAACAGGCUAGCACCCUGGAAAACCUAAUACUUUUAGUGAGAUGUUAGAAAGUAUGUAUUUUUGUCCUUUCAGAUUUUUUAGGAAUCUUGCAUGUAUGGGGGAUAAAUAGACAUAAAAGUAUUAAACUAUCUGCGCAAAAUCAACUUAGUUAUCUACUUGCCUAAAGCCCUUUGCAGUCAGAAUUCUCCUUUGUUAAGAGUUGAAUAUGAGUAUUGUUGUUUCUGUUUACCCCUGGCCCCCUUCAAGAAUCCACAGCUCAGCUGUCUAUACAGUCAUCCUGUGACAGCUUCAUCAUCACCCUCACCUCCUCCCAGGGUUUCCCCCAGCCUGAUGUGUGGUGGACAGACUCCAUUGGAGGAGACAUCUACAAUUAGAGCCACUGCUAAAUCGGUCUGGAAAGCAGGGGGCGCUAUGAGGUCCACAGCUCCAUGGAGGUCAGGCCAAACAGUACACUCACCAUCAUUGCUGAAAUGAGACUGGAGGAUCUCAAUCAAAGCUUCACCCGCUCGCUCACCCUCCACCCACUCCCAGGUAAAGGUGCGACCUACCAACAGGUUUAAGGGUAGAGCAAUGUGACCAAGCAUGGUUCACUGAUUUAGUGAUGAAAUAUUAAACCAUUUCAUAAUCACUAAUGGCUAACCCCUGAAUAGAGAUUACUCUUACACAAAUUCUGCAAUGUAUGAAUUCUAGACAAAAUUUGUAGUCAAACACCCAUCCUAACUAAAUAUGGAUUUGACAUUUCACUUUGAGGGCAAAUGAGUCAUAUGAGCAUUGUGUAUAGAUGUACUGCAUGCAAGAAUAACACCAUUGCAGAGUGCAACUUUCCAUGACAGGAGCUGUUUACAAUGCCCUCAAUGAAAGGUUCAGUGACCAGGCAGUACUACUAGAGGAACAGGUCUUUGGGAUGUGAAGCUGAAAGCCGGUCUCUUUCUCUCUUCUCCUCCUCUUCAACAGAAUGCUGUGAGCUGCCUCUUGCAACCGGGGGCAGACCGGCUUUGGUAUUAUUAGGGAUAGUUCUCUUAGCAGCUUCAGACGUCUGAAACACACCAACACCAGCUGAUCCCACAUGACUAUACAACAGGACAAGAUGAGGCUCAUGAAACAGAGACUUGAUACAUCAUGAACAAAAAUUAGUUAUAAAAGUCUAAGCUUACAGGACUGUUUCAAUGUCACAAAUAUAGGUGUGUGUGUUGCUGCCUUCUGAAAUAUUUCCACUCCCUAUUGGUAAUGUAUUAUAGAGUACUGCUAGCAGUAGACUUUGCUACUCUCUGCAGCCCUAUGUAAUCCAGACUAUUUUGUUUUCUUUGGGGAUGCAGAGCUGUCAUGAAGGUGAAGAGUGGCUGCUUUGAAGAGUCUCAAAUAUACAUUUAGAUUUGUUUAACACUUUUUUUGAUUACGGCAUGAUUUCAUCAAGUGUUAUUUCAUAGUUUUGAUGUCUUCACUAUUAUGCUACAAUGUAGAAAAUAGUACAAAUAAAGAAAAACCUUUGAAUGAGUUGGUGUGUCCAAACAUUUGACUGGUACUGUACAUUUUGUCCAAUGUUACUGUCAAAUGUGGCCUGGUAACAACAACUGGGAAAAGUACUAUCCACCUUACAGUUGGGCUGGUUGUAAAAGUUGAUGCUACAUGACGUUGUGGAUGUAACUGCAACGUCUGGGGCAUAUUACAGAAAUAUUUCACGUUAUUACAUGGUGCUUGGAGUCACUCUGUGAGACAGUUC
ensembl:lncRNA